rnacentral:rRNA from 1 species
GACGAACGCUGGCGGCGUGCUUAACACAUGCAAGUCGAACGGUGAAGGAGAGCUUGCUCUCCGGAUCAGUGGCGAACGGGUGAGUAACACGUGGGCAACCUGCCCCAGACUUCGGGAUAACGCUUCGAAAGAGGUGCUAAUACCGGAUACGAACUCCUUGGGCAUCCUUGGAGUUGGAAAGUUUUUCGGUCUGGGAUGGGCCCGCGGCCUAUCAGCUUGUUGGUGAGGUAACGGCUCACCAAGGCGACGGCGGGUAGCCGGCCUGAGAGGGCGACCGGCCACACUGGGACUGAGACACGGCCCAGACUCCUACGGGAGGCAGCAGUGGGGAAUAUUGCGCAAUGGGCGAAAGCCUGACGCAGCAACGCCGCGUGAGGGAUGACGGCCUUCGGGUUGUAAACCUCUUCCAGCAGGGAAGAAGCGAAAGUGACGGUACCUGCAGAAGAAGCACCGGCUAACUACGUGCCAGCAGCCGCAGUAAUAC